ACGUGCCCCAUGGGAAUACACGCAUGCCCCCCCACGUGUACACGGGCAUAGACAGGUGCCCACGUACCCCCACGUGUGAACACUGGUGAACGUGUGCCCCAAUGCGUGUCCACACGCGUGAUCCCUCGUGGCCGCGUCUGCGCGCGUCCCCCUCAGACACGCGUGUGCCUGCACCCGUGUCCCCUCAUGUGUGGGUCUGUGCGUGUCCUCUAGGUACGUGGCCCACGUUUGUAGCAAUGCGUGUGUCCCCAUGCACACGUGUGUCCCCUCCAUGUGUCCCCAUGUACACGCGUGCCCCCUCCAUGUGUCUCUGUGUCCCUACGUACACGUGUGCCCCCCUCCAUGUGUCCCCAUGUGCACUUGUGUCCCCUCCUUGUGUCUACGUGUCCCCUCCUUGUGUCUACGUGUCCCCAUGUACACGCGUGUCCCCUCUGUGCCUCAGUUUCCCCAUGUACACGUGUGCCCCCUCUGUGUCUCUGUGUGUCCCCAUGUACACAUGUCCCCUCCAUGUGUCUCCAUGUGUCCCCAUGCACACGUGUGUCCCCUCCAUGUGUCCCCAUGUACACGUGUCCCCUCUAUCUGCCUCAGUUUCCCCAUGUACAUGUGCGUCCCCAUGUACACGUGUGUCCCCUCUAUGUGUCCCCAUGUACACGUGUGUCCCCUCCAUGUGUCCCUAUGUACACGUGUGUCUCCUCCAUGUGUUCCCAUGUACAUGCAUGUCCCCUCCCUGUGUCCCCAUGCACAUGUGUGUCCCCUCUGUGUGUGUCUGUGUCUCCAUGUACACAUGUCCCCUCCAUGUGCCCCUAUGUACAGGUGUGCCCCCUCCAUGUGUCUCUAUGUGUCCCUAUGUACACGUGUGUCCCCUCCUUGUGCCUAUAUGCGUCCCCAUCUACACAUGUGUCCCCUCUGUGCCUCAGUUUCCCCAGGUACACGUGUGCUCCUCUGUGUCUCUGUGUGUCCUCAUGUACAUGUGUGUCACCUCCCUGUUUCCCCAUGCACACUUGUGUCCUCUCCAUGUGUCCCCAUGUACACAUGGGUCCCCUCCAUGUGUCCCUAUGUACACGUGUAUCCCCUCUAUGUGUCCCCAUGUACACGUGUCCCCUCUAUGUGUCUGUCUCCCCACGUACAUGUGUGUCCCCUCUAUGAGUCCCCAUGUACACAUGUGUCCCCUCUAUGUGUCUCUAUGUGUCCCCACGCACACGUGUGUCCCCUCUAUGCGUCUCUGUUUCCCCAUGUACAUGUGUGUCCCCUCCGUGUGUCCCCAUGUACACGUGUGUCCCUCCUUGUGCCUAUAUGUGUCCCCAUGCACACGUGUGUCCCCUCCAUGAGUCUCUGUGUCCCCACACACACGUGUGUCCCCUCCAUGUGUCCCCAUGAACACGUGUGUCCCCUCCAUGAGUCCCUGUGUCCCCACGUACACGUGUCCCUCUAUGUCUGUGUCCCCACAUACACGUGUGUCCCCUCCAUGAGUCUCUAUGUGUCCCCAUGUACACACGUUUCCCCUUUAUGUGUCUCUGUGUCCCCAUGUACAUGUCUGUCCCCUCCUUGUGUCCCCAUGCACACGUGUGCCCCAUGUCUCUAUGUGUCCCCCCGUACACAUGUCCCCUCCGUGUCUCUACACACGUCCCCCCAUGUACACACGUGUCCAUAUGUCCCUCCCAUGUACACAUCCCCCACGUGUCUAUACACCCGUGUCCCCCCCAUCCCUAUGCCCCUAUACGUGUGCCCCAUGUACCUGAGUGUCCAUAUGGAUGUCCCCCAUGGAUGUGUCCCCACAUGCCCCCCCCAUAGACACGUGGUACACCCACCUAC
ensembl:lncRNA